rnacentral:rRNA from 1 species
UACCGAGGUCUCGAGCGUUAGGCGGAAUCACUGGGCUUAAAGCGUGUGUAGGUGGAUCGGUAAGUACCUUGUGAAAUCCCACGGCUUAACCGUGGAACUGCUUGGUAUACUGCCAGUCUUGAGCCAGCUAGGGGCUACCGGAACAAAUGGUGGAGCGGUGAAAUGCGUAGAUAUGACCCGGAACACCGAUUGCGAAGGCAGCCCACUAAGCAAAUGAUUGACGCUGAGGCACGAAAAGCGUGGGGGAUCAAAA